CAACAACACAAAGCCUGAGGCUAUUUAUCUCAGGUUUUCCUGGUUCUGCUGUAAACACACUAUGCACUACCCAUAAAUAUAUCUGCUGGUAGCAGGAACCUGGACAAACAGCAAAUGUGCUGUGUAGUUAAACUGUUCACAUGACCUUUCAGGACAACUAAUUAUUAUCAGCUGGCUAAUAAACAAAGGUCCCAGGCUUCUGCCAGGAGGGUUCUGCAGGUGGAUCUCACCUCCAUCACACCCUCAAGCUCUGAAAUGGAUAUUCCUUUGCUUUCCAGCCACAAAGCUCAUUAUUGUCUGAGGUCAAAAACAAAAACAAAUGCACAAAAUGCUGUGUCCAUUACAUUAAUCUUGAUGAAUCUGAGUUUGCACUACUGAAACCUGAGGAUUGUUGAGACUUUUAUUUCUUUAGGAGCAGAAAUGGAAAACGAGAUGAAAAUCAAUGGAGCUCGAAUCUCAGAAUGGUGGCAGUUGAGCAUGGUGUUAUCAUCAUGCCAGGGACAACACAACUGACAGUACCUGACAUCUGCCAUCGACUACUGGCUUCCAAGGCCAGGUGUGUUAUUACAAUCCAUGCUCUUGCUCCUGUGGUGGACUCAGUUGCAUCCAAGUGCCAGUCUCUGAAAACAAAGCUGAUUGUGUCUGAAAGCAGCAGGGCUGAGUGGCUGAACUUCAGCCAUUUGCUCAAGUAAGUGCCUUCUACCUAAACCCUGUUAGUUAUCGCCAGGGGAAAUUUCCUCAUGUUUGAGCACCCUUGUAUCUCAUUAAUUAAUGAGAUACCUCUAAGGGAGUAGGAGAAGAGGCAAUUUAGUCUGUUUUUUAUAUACAGGAGCAAUAUUAAGGAAUAACCAAACAGUUAAUUAUAAAGUAAGUAGCCUUAUGAUGUCUAAAUUUGUUAUAUAAGACCAUAAAACACAGAAAAGUGGGCAGGAAUGACCUCUAUUGUGGCAUAUUUACUCUCUAAAAGACAAAUAUUCUAUGCAAAUUAUUCCAUGUUCCUUAAGCUUGAUGAUAAUGAUGAACAGCUUUUCACUAUAAAAGGCUAAAAAGGAUACUGUAAAAUGAAUUUAAUGUCUUUAGGAAUCCUCUGGACAGAUCACUGCCAGCCUACCUACCUGGCAGGAUAACUGCCCUGCCUUCCCUGCUGCCCAUGUCCUCGGCUGCCUCAGCUGAGAGCUGAGCUGGCCAGGAGGCUCUGGGGCUCUGGAGGGGGAGCUCCUGGGCAGCAGCAGCCACCAGCCAGCCCCGGGACACGGCUGGGCUGGGGAGGCAGACUGGCCACACGUAACCCUGCAGGAGUGGGCAGUGCUUGCACGCCAAGCCAACAAACAGCACAACAAACAGCAGUCCUGGCAGAGCGUUUUUCACCCGUUUUUGUACAUGCCACGCCACAGUUUGAGCCAAGUCUUAAAUGUAAGAACACCAUGCCCACAAUGAACAGUUACUCAUAUUUCAUGUUGUUUUCCAGGUAGUCCAUAAAACUAAGCCUCUUAGGUUUACAGGAUUAGCUGUUUUAAGAUGGCAAAACCACAGGCUGACUGCUCUUUGAAUAGGAAUAUAAUACAGGAAGGAUUUUGCAGCAUGGUUCCUGUUUCCAAUCAGUGGGAGUUACUGGUGUUACUUAAAACUCCCCCCUACUGUACUUCACUACUGAAAUGACAAAUGAACUGAAUUACAUGUAAAUUCAUAUUUUAAUUACACAGCUGUGACCCUCAAGAAAGGCAAGUCAUUUUAAUCUAGCACAAGGGGAAGAGUGAAUCUCAGGGCCAGGGGUUUCAUACCAAGGGAUGAUCCUUGAGCUUCAAGUCAGCAUCAGGACAAAUUAAGUACACCACAUUCCACCAUCAAUGUAUCACCCAGCUGAUGGCUGGGCACUGUAGCAUCUUUCCUCAGCACUGACAGUGACAGCAAUUAUUUGGCUUUUCAUGUAAGGGAGAUCAUAAUAAUGUCAUAUGGCUUGUCCAUGAAGGUUUGAAUUUGAAACACUGAAGCACCAUCUGACCAUAAGGGAACCACUGAGCCCACAAGUGAGUGCACAGCAGAAAAGCCAGGGAAUUAAUGUCUAAACAAUGAAUGUUCAGUAAGAGCAAACUGAAAAAUCAGAAGUAAACUGUAAGUCCUGUAGACAGGUCAGUGAGAGAGAGGAGGAAAGAAAACUAAAAAUUCCAAUAAUUACCCUGAGUUUUGUCCUUAGAAGUUAAGCAGGCUGUCAUGAAUCAUGAUUACUAACUAUAUCCUUAACACCAACAUCAGCCACCAAUAAACAUUCACAGUUGGCCUUUGUGUCUGGUGUCAGAUGGUUCUUUCCUUUGUGUGACUCAGACAUUGAUGGUUUUAAUCCACACACAAAAAUCUUCAAAAAUUUAAACAAAACACCACAGGACAUAAGAAAGCAGAGUUUUAAUAAAUGGGCUGCAAUGGAGACAGGAUAGGGAAAUAAAAGUCCUCUUCAUUUUCCAACUUCUGAAACAAUUUUGACAGAAGAGGAAAAUAUAAAUUAUGAAAGACUUUAACAAGUAAUUUUCAUUAAACCAAGAGAAGUAACAAAUUGUGUUCUUCAAGGUAAGUCUUUUCCCAUUAGCAAUACACAGGAUUUUAUGCUAGAAAUUAAAUACUAAAGCUAGAAAGUUCUAAAGGAGGCAUACUCAAAACUUGUUGGAAAGCAAGUUAUAGCUGCACUGGUUUUGGCUGUAUUUAGGAGUCACAGGGACAGUUCACUGCAACAGUAAGACAACAGAAAGACUCACUAGCAUUACUUUCAAUCUGAAACAAAAUUAAUAUCAAAAAGCUAACACUGUACCAAAAUUAAAAUUUAAUUCCCCUUAUCUAGUAUGGUAUAAUGGAGAGCUUCUUUCAUAAGAAGCUUCCAAUCAGUAUUUAAAUUCAAACUUUGAGACUUAAAAAAAAAAAAAAAGUGAAACACAUUGUAAAAUCCCUCAAGGAUUGAGUCUUUGGAAAGAGCAGCAAAAUG